rnacentral:rRNA from 1 species
UACGGAGGGUGCAAGCGUUAUCCGGAUUUAUUGGGCGUAAAGGGCGCGUAGGCGGUGAGAUGCGUCCGUUGUGAAAUCGCCCGGCUCAACUGGGCGGGGUCAGCGGAUACGGUCUCACUUGAGCAAGCUAGGGGGCAAUGGAAUUCCCGGUGUAGUGGUGGAAUGCGUAGAUAUCGGGAGGAACACCAGUGGCGAAGGCGGUUGCCUGGGGCUUUGCUGACGCUGAUGCGCGAAAGCGUGGGGAGCGAUCCGG